GAUGAACGCUAGCUACAGGCUUAACACAUGCAAGUCGAGGGGCAGCAUGGUGGAUGCUUGCAUUCACCGAUGGCGACCGGCGUAUGGGUGAGUAACGCGUAUCCAACCUGGCGUGCACACCGGCACAGCCCCUGGAAACGGGNUUAAUUCCGGAUGGUGUGGAUUAGGCGCAUGCCUUGUCCACUAAAGGUCUUCCGGUGCACGAUGGGGAUGCGUUCCAUUAGGCAGUUGGUGGGGUAACGGCCUACCAAGGCAACGAUCAGUAGCCGGACUGAGAGGUUGAUCGGCCACAUUGGGACUGAGACACGGCCCAGACUCCUACGGGAGGCAGCAGUGGGGAAUAUUGCACAAUGGAGGAAACUCUGAUGCAGCGACGCCGCGUGAGGGAAGAAGGUAUUCGUAUUGUAAACCUCUGUCUUCGGGGACGAUAAUGACGGUACCCGAGGAGGAAGCACCGGCUAACUACGUG
rnacentral:rRNA from 1 species